AGAGUUUGAUCAUGGCUCAGGACGAACGCUGGCGGCGUGCUUAACACAUGCAAGUCGAGCGGUAAGGCCCCUUCGGGGGUACACGAGCGGCGAACGGGUGAGUAACACGUGAGUAACCUGCCCCUGACUCUGGGAUAAGCCUGGGAAACUGGGUCUAAUACCGGAUAUGACCUCGUGCCGCAUGGUGUGGGGUGGAAAGGUGUUUUUCCGGUCAGGGAUGGGCUCGCGGCCUAUCAGCUUGUUGGUGGGGUAACGGCCUACCAAGGCGAUGACGGGUAGCCGGCCUGAGAGGGCGACCGGCCACACUGGGACUGAGACACGGCCCAGACUCCUGCGGGAGGCAGCAGUAGGGAAUAUUGCGCAAUGGGCGGAAGCCUGACGCAGCGACGCCGCGUGGGGGAUGAAGGCCUUCGGGUUGUAAACCUCUUUUACCACUCACGAAGGCCCCUGGUUUUCUGGGGGUUGACGGUAGGUGGUGAAUAAGGACCGGCUAACUACGUGCCAGCAGCCGCGGUAAUACGUAGGGUCCGAGCGUUGUCCGGAAUUAUUGGGCGUAAAGAGCUCGUAGGCGGCCUGUCGCGUCUGCUGUGGAAGUCCGGGGCUUAACUCCGGGUGUGCAGUGGAUACGGGCAGGCUUGAGGUAGGUAGGGGAGACUGGAAUUCCUGGUGUAGCGGUGAAAUGCGCAGAUAUCAGGAGGAACACCGGUGGCGAAGGCGGGUCUCUGGGCCUUACCUGACGCUGAGGAGCGAAAGCGUGGGGAGCGAACAGGAUUAGAUACCCUGGUAGUCCACGCCGU
rnacentral:rRNA from 1 species